UACGUAGGUGGCGAGCGUUACUCGGAAUCACUGGGCAUAAAGGGCGUGUAGGCGGAUGUGUAAGUCCGGUGUAAAAGCCCCCGGCUCAACCGGGGAAGGCCAUCGGAUACUGCAUGUCUUGAGUGCGGGAAGGGAGAGUGGAACUCUUGGUGGAGCGGUGAAAUGCGUAGAUAUCAAGAGGAACGCCGGUGGCGAAAGCGGCUCUCUGGCCCGUUACUGACGCUGAGGCGCGAAAGCCAGGGGAG
rnacentral:rRNA from 1 species